rnacentral:rRNA from 1 species
UACGAAGGGGGCUAGCGUUGCUCGGAAUUACUGGGCGUAAAGGGCGCGUAGGCGGACAGGUUAGUCAGAGGUGAAAGCCCAGGGCUCAACUCUGGAAUUGCCUUUGAUACUGGCUGUCUUGAGUACGGGAGAGGUGUGUGGAACUCCGAGUGUAAAGGUGAAAUUCGUAGAUAUUCGGAAGAACACCAGUGGCGAAGGCGACACACUGGCCCGUUACUGACGCUGAGGCGCGAAAGCGUGGGGAGCAAACAGG